AUGAGCUGCUUGCCGUGUUUCGGGAAGAAGAAGGAUGGCAACGCCGAGGGAGGGGGCGACGAGCAGGCGGCGGCGGGGCCGAUGACGCCGCCUCCCGCCGUGCACUCGCCCGCGCCCUACCACGCCCCGGCUGCCGCCGCGCCCGUCGCCGUGGCAGCUCCGGCGAGCGUGACGCCGACCAAGCCGGCCGGCGAGAGCGACGCCAACCCGGAGGACGCGCUGCGGCAGGCCAUCGAGGUGAAGGCGUUCGCGUUCAGGGAGCUCGCGGCGGCCACCGACCACUUCACGCCGUACAACCUCGUCGGAGAAGGAGGCUUCUUCAGGGUGUACAAGGGCCAGCUAGAGAAGGAAGGGCAGGCCGUGGCCAUCAAGCAGAUGGACAAGCAUGGCUUCCAAGGCAACAUCGAGUUUCUGACCGAGGUCUCCAAGCUCAGCAAGCUUCACCACGAGAACCUCAUCGACAUCAUCGGCUACUGCGCCGACGGUGACCAGCGGCUCCUCGUCUACGAGCACAUGGACGGCGGCACCUUGGAAGACCACCUCUACGACUUGCCGCCGGAGAAGAAACCGAUGGACUGGACGACAAGGAUGAAGGUGGCCAACGGCGCCGCGCAGGGGCUGGAGUACCUGCACGAGAAAGCGGACCCGCCGGUGGUGUACGGCGACUUCAAGGCCUCCCAAAUCUUGCUCGACGCCAGCUUCACGCCCAAGCUCUCCGACUUCGGCCUCCAGCAGCUCGGCCAGUCCGGCGGUGGCAACAUGCCGAUGGCGUCGCCGAUGAUGGGCGCCUUCGGGUGCCUCGCGCCGGAGUACGACCGCGGCGGCCAGGUCAGCAUGAAGUCCGACGUGUACAGCUUCGGGGUGGUGCUGCUGCAGCUCAUCUCCGGCAGGCGGACCGUCGACACCAGCAAGCCCGUCGAGGAGCAGAACGUCGUCACCUGGGCACAACCGAAGUUCAAAGACCAGAAGAGAUAUCAUGAGCUGGUGGACCCGCUUAUCAAGAGGGAGUACCCGGCCAAAGCGUUGAACCAAGUGGUGGCCAUGGCUUCCAUGUGCUUGCAAGAAGAGGACUGCGUCCGGCCAAUGAUGGGCGAUGUCGUCAUGACGCUAGGCUUCCUCAUGAUGCUGCCGCCGGAUCCGCCCGCCCCAGAGCCAGAGCCAGCCCCCGAGCCGGCACCCAAAAAGGACGACGAAUCGCGUCGCUCUGGAAGCUCGUCGUCUUCUUCGGAUGACGAGGACGGCGGCGAGGGCGAGGAGGAAGAAGAAGAGCAGAGUUAA
rnacentral:rRNA from 1 species